rnacentral:ncRNA from 1 species
CUUAUCAAGAGCGGCUGAGGGAAUAGGCCCUGUGAAGCCCGGCAACCUAGGUGCGUGGCGCGCGAGCGUCAGGUAGAAAAGGUGCUAAGUCCUACAGGUGAAAACCUGAAAGAUGAGG